rnacentral:SRP_RNA from 1 species
CCGUGCAGCUGGGAAGUUAGCGGCGUCCUGUACCUGAAAUCCGCUAUAGCAGGAGUGAUGGUCAGCCUCGGAUGUCUUAUUGAUGGAGCUGCCCUUUAUAAGUGGUGUUGACAAUUGGGUCUCGCGCAACAGGAAUCUCUGAACCGUGUCAGGUCGGGAACGGAGCAGCACUAAGGAGUCUCUCCUGUGUGCCGUGAGGGUGCCUGGUUCGAGCUAACUGUAGAGGUAACGUCUGUUGGUAAGCAUACAAAGCUGACCGCACGG